CCUACGGGUGACAGCAGUGAGGAAUAUUGGUCAAUGGGCGGGAGCCUGAACCAGCCAAGUCGCGUGAGGGAAGACGGUCCUAUGGAUUGUAAACCUCUUUAGGCGGGGAGCAAUGCCGGGCACGCGUGCCCGGAGGGAGAGUACCCGCAGAAUAAGCAUCGGCUAACUCCGUGCCAGCAGCCGCGGUAAUACGGAGGGUGCGAGCGUUAUCCGGAUUUAUUGGGGUUAAAGGGUGCGUAGGUUGUUUUUUAAGUCAGCGGUUAAAGUUUGUGGGUCAAACAUAAGAUGGCCGUUGAAACUGGAGGACUUGAGUGUGUGUGAGGUAGGCGGAAUGCGUGGUGUAGCGGUGAAAUGCAUAGAUAUCACGCAGAACUCCGAUUGCGAAGGCAGCUUACCAAGCCAUGACUGACACUGAAGCACGAAAGCGUGGGGAUCAAACAGGAUUAGAUACCCCUGUAGUC
rnacentral:rRNA from 1 species